rnacentral:lncRNA from 1 species
CUAUUUUUAACUUGCAUGUUUCCUUCAGACUUUAUGAUUUGGAUUGCUCUGUGCUCCACUUUGACAAUGACAAUCGCAAACAUAAGAAAAAGAAGAAAAAGAAGAAGCACGACAGGAAACUGAAAGACUUAUUGGAAUAUUUAGAUCCUCCUUUCCAGAAGCAAACAUGGGAGAAGAAGGAAGAAUCCCGUCCUCCAGAUGACCAUUUAUGUGAGCAAUACAGAAACCAGGGCAGUGAAGAACCCUCCAAGGAAGAGAAGCCUUCUGGCAGGAAAUGCAGCUCCAUGGCAUCCCGUGAGUGUGGCAGAGACGUGGAGCUGAGUGAUGAAAGCCUUCAAUACUCAGACUGAACCCACCACAACCCCACCAACCUUCACCUUCAAAACCAACGACUUCUCAUCAUCAAAACCAACGACUUCUCACCUUCAAACCUGACAUUACCAGUAUUGACCAUCAAAACUUACAAUUUAUUAUCAAUUACCAUCGAGACAAAAUCCAGUCAUAAGUGGUGCUUAACAUUUCUGUACAGAAUUUUACCAUAUAAGAACUUUUUUUUAGUUUUUAACUUGAGACUUUCUUUUGUAAAAUGUACUUCUAAUCCAAAAGGGUGAAAACUUUUUACAACUGCUGAACAUUGUAAAUUACCACAUAAAUAUCUCAGUGAGCUGAGAUAAUGCCCUGGAAUAGACCAUCUCAAAUGCUGCUUAAUUACAGACUCAGGUUGACUUUAUGUUAUUCAUGUAAUGUUACUCCAAGUUAAGACAUCUGGUGCAAGAGCGACCAGGAAUUAUAAAAGUUGCAACUGACAGUCUGUAUAUUUAAUUUAAAGACUUAUUUAAAACUUCACAAGUUUUGCAAGAGCUUCAUUUUUUUUUUUUUUUUCUGUGGUCUGACACUAGAAACUAAUUUACUUCACAUUUGAGUUAUGUUCAAGAUCUGAAGAAAAUCUUCUGGUUUUCGACAUAGUGAAACAACGAAUAUGCAGUUCUGAAUGUAUCUCUCAAGA